GACGUAGGGCGCGAGCGUUGUCCGGAUUUAUUGGGCGUAAAUAGCUCGUAGGCGGCUUGUCGCGUCGAAUGUGAAAACCCACGGCUCAACUGUGGGCUUGCAUUCGAUACGGGCAGGCUAGAGUUCGGUAGGGGAGACUGGAAUUCCUGGUGUAGCGGUGAAAUGCGCAGAUAUCAGGAGGAACACCGGUGGCGAAGGCGGGGUCUCUGGGCCGAUACUGACGCUGAGGAGCGAAAAGCGUGGGGGAGCGAACAGG
rnacentral:rRNA from 1 species